GCCUGGGUGGCUCAGUCGGUUAAGCACCUGACUCUGGCUCAGGUCUUGAUCUUGUGGUUCGUGAGUUUUCGUGAGUUUGAGUCCCACAUCAGGCU
rnacentral:tRNA from 1 species